AUAUAAUCAGUCUGAUUUCAGUGUUGACCAUCUGGUGAUGUCCAUGUGCAGAGUCUUCUCUUGUGUUGUUGGAAGAGGGUGUUUGCUAUGACCAGUGCAUUCUCUAUGCGGUAUUAGUAUUUUUAGUAUUCUGAAGAUUGUAUGAUUCAUUUCUUCUGCAGGUGUAGUUUUUCUUACAGAAGAAUAUCCAGUUAUUUCAUGAUGGCAUUUGCACCUCCAAAAACCACAAAUGGUCCCAAAAUGCAGACAAAGAUGAAUACCUGGACACCCCUAAACCAUCAGCUUUUGAAUGACUGGUUGCAGCAUGCGGAAUCCAGUUCCCUGACCAGAGAUGGAACUCGGGCCCCUACAUAG
rnacentral:lncRNA from 1 species